AGGUGCCCGUACCGCAAACCGACACAGGUAGGCGAGGAGAGAAUCCUAAGGCGCGCGAGAGAACCCCUGUUAAGGAACUCGGCAAAAUGACUCCGUAACUUCGGGAGAAGGAGUGCCUAAGUAGUGUGAAGUUGAACAGAUGGAGCACGAACAGGCCGCAGAGAAAUGGCCCAAGCGACUGUUUACCAAAAACACAGGUCUCUGCUAAGUGGAAACACGAAGUAUAGGGGCUGACGCCUGCCCAAUGCCGGAAGGUUAAGGGGAGAGGUUAGCGCAAGCGAAGCUUCGAACCGAAGCCCCGGUCAAUGGCGGCCGUAACUAUAACGGUCCUAAGGUAGCGAAAUUCCUUGUCGGGUAAGUUCCGACCUGCACGAAAGGCGUAACGACUUGGGCGCUGUCUCGACGGGGGGCUCGGCGAAAUUGUAGUACCUGUGAAGAUGCAGGUUACCCGCGACAAGACGGAAAGACCCCGUGGAGCUUUACUGCAGCUUGGUAUUGAAUUUUGGUAUGGAAUGUAUAGGAUAGGUGGGAGACUUAGAAGCCGGGACGCUAGUUUCGGUGGAGUCGUCGGUGGAAUACCACUCUUUUCAUGCUAGAAUUCUAACUGGCGGCCCUGAAUCGGGUCACAGGACAGUAUCAGGCGGGCAGUUUGACUGGGGCGGUCGCCUCCUAAAAGGUAACGGAGGCGCCCAAAGGUUCCCUCGGUGCGGAUGGAAAUCGCACGAGAGAGUGUAAAGGCAGAAGGGAGCUUGACUGCGAGACGGACAUGUCGAGCAGGUACGAAAGUAGGGCUUAGUGAUCCGGUGGUUCUGAGUGGAAGGGCCAUCGCUCAACGGAUAAAAGCUACCCCGGGGAUAACAGGCUUAUCUCCCCCAAGAGUUCACAUCGACGGGGAGGUUUGGCACCUCGAUGUCGGCUCGUCGCAUCCUGGAGCUGGAGAAGGUUCCAAGGGUUGGGCUGUUCGCCCAUUAAAGCGGUACGCGAGCUGGGUUCAGAACGUCGUGAGACAGUUCGGUCCCUAUCUGUCGCGGGCGUAGGAGAUUUGAGAGGAUCUGUCCCUAGUACGAGAGGACCGGGAUGGACGCACCGCUGGCUUACCAGUUGUCCCGCCAGGGGCACGGCUGGCACCCCAAGUGCGGAGUGGAUAAGCGCUGAAAGCAUCUAAGCGCGAAGCCCACCUCAAGAUGAGAUCUCCCACAGCGUUAAGCUGGUAAGACCCCUCAUAGAAGAUGAGGUAGAUAGGCCGGAGGUGUAAGGUCAGUGAUGGCUUGAGCUGUCCGGUACUAAUGGUUCGAGGGCUUGACCUU
rnacentral:rRNA from 1 species